GAUAAUACUAAGUGGCAGUCACUGGAUCCUUGAACAGCAUGUAAGAUGAGACCUCUUUGUCCUUCAUCCCAGGUUCUCACAACUGGUCCUUAAGCCACCUAAAGAAACUUGGAAAUUUAAUUAACCAGGAAGGAUAGCUAAAGAUGUCACUUAGUCUACAUCUCUGGAAGAAUGCUGUUGUCCUUUUAUCCUUUGAUGAUGCUACCGCUGCCAAGGGAAAGAGUCUGACCAAGCAGUCUGAAGUAUAAACCAGGGUCUUUUCCAGGUUCUUCUCUCCUGAUUUCAAGGAAUGAGAUCCACUGACCAGAAUGACUGAAUGUAAGAGCAGGAUUUAUUGAAGAAUAGAAACAGGAACAGAAAUUCUUACAGUACAAGAUGGAACCUGAUCUCAGGUUUUCUCUGCUUGCC